UGUCUAAUACCGCAUGUGGCCAGCACUUUUCCCGUCAACCACGACCAUAAAAUCGUGACCAAUUGGCAGGAAAUGUGCUGGUUAAAGCUCCGGCGCUUUGGGAACGGCCUGCGCAUGAUUAGCUUGUUGGUGAGGUAAUAGCUCACCAAGGCGACGAUCAUUAGCUGGUCUGAGAGGAUGACCAGCCAGACUGGGACUGAGAACGGCCCAG
rnacentral:rRNA from 1 species